rnacentral:rRNA from 1 species
AUUGAACGCUGGCGGCAUGCUUUACACAUGCAAGUCGAACGGUAACAGGCCGCAAGGUGCUGACGAGUGGCGAACGGGUGAGUAAUGCAUCGGAACGUGCCCAGUCGUGGGGGAUAACUACUCGAAAGAGUAGCUAAUACCGCAUACGAUCUAUGGAUGAAAGCGGGGGACCGUAAGGCCUCGCGCGAUUGGAGCGGCCGAUGUCAGAUUAGGUAGUUGGUGGGGUAAAGGCUCACCAAGCCAACGAUCUGUAGCUGGUCUGAGAGGACGACCAGCCACACUGGGACUGAGACACGGCCCAGACUCCUACGGGAGGCAGCAGUGGGGAAUUUUGGACAAUGGGCGCAAGCCUGAUCCAGCAAUGCCGCGUGCAGGAAGAAGGCCUUCGAGUUGUAAACUGCUUUUGUACGGAACGAAACGGCUCUGGUUAAUACCCGGGGCUAAUGACGGUACCGUAAGAAUAAGCACCGGCUAACUACGUG